GACUGUUAACCACUCUGGUGGCCUAGUGGUUAGAGCAUCUGCUUCGAAUGCGGGAGGUCGUGGGUUCAGUCCCCGGUUGAGUCA